rnacentral:rRNA from 1 species
AUUGAACGCUGGCGGCAGGCCUAACACAUGCAAGUCGAGCGGAUGAAGAGAGCUUGCUCUUUGAUUCAGCGGCGGACGGGUGAGUAAUGCCUAGGAAUCUGCCUGAUAGUGGGGGACAACGUUUCGAAAGGAACGCUAAUACCGCAUACGUCCUACGGGAGAAAGCAGGGGACCUUCGGGCCUUGCGCUAUCAGAUGAGCCUAGGUCGGAUUAGCUAGUUGGUGAGGUAAUGGCUCACCAAGGCGACGAUCCGUAACUGGUGUGAGAGGAUGAUCAGUCACACUGGAACUGAGACACGGUCCAGACUCCUACGGGAGGCAGCAGUGGGGAACAUUGGACAAUGGGCGAAAGCCUGAUCCAGCCAUGCCGCGUGUGUGAAGAAGGUCUUCGGAUUGUAAAGCACUUUAAGUUGGGAGGAAGGGCAUUAACCUAAUACGUUAGUGUUUUGACGUUACCGACAGAAUAAGCACCGGCUAACUUCGUGCCAGCAGCCGCCGUAACAC